GGGGUUGUAGCUCAGUGGUAGAGCGCUUGCCUAGCAUGCAUGAGGCACUGGGUUCAAUCCUCAGUACCACA
rnacentral:tRNA from 1 species